GAACGCUAGCUACAGGCUUAACACAUGCAAGUCGAGGGGCAGCAUGAACUUAGCUUGCUAAGUUUGAUGGCGACCGGCGCACGGGUGAGUAACACGUAUCCAACCUGCCCAUCACUUGGGGAUAACCUUGCGAAAGUAAGACUAAUACCCAAUGAUAUCUCUAGAAGACAUCUGAAAGAGAUUAAAGAUUUAUCGGUUACAGAUGAACAUGCGUUCCAUUAGCUGGUUGGCGGGGUAACGGCCCACCAAGGCAACGAUGGAUAGGGGUUCUGAGAGGAAGGUCCCCCACACUGGUACUGAGACACGGACCAGACUCCUACGGGAGGCAGCAGUGAGGAAUAUUGGUCAAUGGGCGAGAGCCUGAACCAGCCAAGUCGCGUGGAGGAAGACUGCCCUACGGGUUGUAAACUCCUUUUACCUGGGAAUAACGGGCGCUACGCGUAGCGCUGUGCAUGUACCGGGAGAAUAAGCAUCGGCUAAUUCCGUG
rnacentral:rRNA from 1 species